AUUGUAAUAGCAAUGAUUUGAUUUAAGACAAAAUGUAUAUUUUUGCAUUUCGUUGCAUAUUUGAGAACAAACACAUGAAUACACAGUAAUAUAUCCAUUAUUGUUAGACAUGGAGCUAUAAGUGCAAACAUGACCAAAAAUCUCAAUAUUCAAAGUCAUAUCAAAGAAAUCAGGAUGUUAAUAUGAUCUAAGAACUAAUCUUCAAAGAACAUUAAAACUUUCUUAACAGCAAAAAAAAAAUAAUGAUUGUCACAAUUUAACAAAUAAUAAUAAAAAUGCACUGAAUAAUUUGAGUUGUUAUUCAAGUUGAUAUAAUUUUAUUGCAGUUAAUCACUAGUAUAUUUUGUUUUAUAAACAGACAACUAUGUCAUGUUUUGCUCACUUUUCAUUCCCAGUUUUGCGCAGUACAGUCAGAGUGAGAGGUCUUCACUUUUUCUAACCCUCUUUGCCUCUCUGGGACAAAGCUAGAGCCUGAGAGCCAAUGACCGACGUGUUCUCGUGACUGACAGUUGAAUCCACCAAUGAGCGUCCACAUCACGUACCGUGGAAAUAUAGUACAACCAAUGACGAUUGGAAGAGGGCACGCAGAGGACAUCAGGUCCUGGACCGGUUUCAAGUUCCUUUCUGCAGGGAGACGUAGUCUGGCGAGGCGACACAGUGUGUACGUAUAUGUGGUGUAAAUCUGCACAUGUAUUAUUAAUAAAACCCUCGUGACUGAAGACAUUUGGCUGCGGCUCACUUCCUCGCUCGCAUCCAGGCUUCACAUUUGAAAUGAGGAACUUCAUGAACGCCACAUGAAUCUGGGUGUGUCACUGCAGCAGCUUCACAUUUUUCCAGCUAAUUUAACGUUCCAACUGUUGGCCUGUUAGAUGUGGAUGUGCAUUAUAACUUUGUCCUUUUUUUAAGUGGAGGAUCAGUUUAAUCUGACGAUUUAAGCGGCAUUUCCAGAGACAGAUUUUAAGUUUAAGUUCAGCUCCAAAAAUAGCUGGAUCAGACAUAAAU
rnacentral:lncRNA from 1 species